AUUUAUAUAAUAUAAAUAGUAUAUUUGACUUCCAAUCAAAAAGUUUAAUUUUAAUUUAAUGUAAAUA
rnacentral:tRNA from 1 species